CAGAAGUGUAGGCCUGUACGGAUUACAUAUUCGGUCCCUGUAGCAUUCCCUACGUGCUUACGUCUUCUGUUUACUUUCACGUUCAACACUUAAGUUGUUAAUUUAGAUAGAGUUGAGCUUCAGUUUCAAAGCAACAUUCUCUGAGUCUACCCCGUCAUGGAUUCAGUGUGCGGGUAUCUGAAAUUUAUGCUGUCCAAUUCAUCACCAUGUCGGAAUCUUCCUGACAAAACCAGUUUGAUUGUUUCAUUUAUUGGGCAUUUCUUGAAAACCAGCUGCAUUGCAAGCAUCUCAACCGAGGUGUUGUACACUGUUGCUCUCGGUAUUUGGCACAGGUUGCUCCAAUGACAUGUCACAUGUACCUGCUGCGUCCCUGCACGAUCUUUGGAAAUCAGACCCGUUCGUACAUAUAUACUUAUACUCAAAUUAAUGAAAAUUACUGUAGAAUGAUUGUUCUACGGUUUCAGGUCAAAAAGAAUCUUUAAAGAACAGUCAGCCAACAGGUAUUCUGAAAAAAAGGAAAGAUUUUUGACACAUCGUACUGUUUGUGACCUAAAGAUAUCAAAUCUCUAAGAAAAUACCAGUGUUACAGGCUACGUAUAAGAGGAACGAAACGAUGGCGUGAACAUCUACAACUUAUGAAACUGUCUUUUGUCAUCAUGCUUUGCAGAUAGUGCAGAGUUUCAGAGAUUGAACGGCUAAUGAGUGAGUGCUUCAUUUUUUUCCUUUCAAGUUACAAUACAUUCUUGAUUUGGUUGCGUGAACAUCUACAAAUUCCUGUAGCCCGGUUCCUGUUCUCCAUCGUCUACCCAAGAACUGUCCGAGUUCAUCUGCAGAGAGGGGGGCUGAUUUCAUCAUCGCAAACUGCUACAUAUUUCUGUAUGUCAGAGAUAUAUCGAGGUUGUGCAGGCAUGGUUUUCAAGAUAUAAUGUCAGUUUCUUAUCAUAUUGUACCUACUAUGCGCAUGAUAAUACAUUGCAUUGACAUUCAGGUACUGAGUGUGUGACCGACUGAUCAUUUUCAACCAGCCAGCAGCUCAACACAGCAAACAUACUACAGUCUACAAGGAGAACAAUUUUCUCAUAGAUUGGACUGCGAGAGAGCAGGACAUCAAAGGUUGUAUCUCUUUUUCCAUAGUUGAGACAUCAACAUAAGAAGACCAUCGUCAUUACUUGGAAGACAAUCGUCAUUACUUGAUAAGAACGUAAAAAUAAGUAAAUGAUCUUUCUGUGUCUUACAGAUGACAGCAUAAGAUUCCUGCAAACCAAACAAAAAGAUUACAUGAAGGAAAUUAACU
rnacentral:lncRNA from 1 species